AUUAUUCCAAUUUUUAAAUGUCAUUUAUUAACUUGAUCAUAUUGAACUAAUGAGUUUUAUUGUUAAAAUUUUUAUAGCUACAAGCAGAAGGGAGUAUUGGUAGGGUUGAUAGAAGUGUUUUAUGGAAGAAAGCACGUGAGAAGAAAGGAAAGUUUAAUAAGAUUACAGAGCCAGUGAUUAACAUGAUAGUAAGUUAGCAUAUUUAUGCCUUUUAGAACAAAACAUAUUUAUGUUAUACACCAAUUUGUCUAUUAUCCUUUGUAUUAAAACAAUUCAUUUUCUAGCUACCUUGAAUUGGUUGUCUUUGAUUGAUAUGUAAAUCAUCUUCAUCAAAUUAUUACUAAUAUAUGUUUUGUUGUAGGAUGAAUUACUAGAAAAUGCUAAGGAGACUGGACUACCUCCACCUGGUCCAAAUGACAUAUUAGGUCAAGCAUUGGGUAAGCCUGAUCAUCCAGGACGUGUGGUAGGUCAAGACCGUUUGGUUAGGCCUAGCUCAUACUUUCAUCAACCAUCUGAUGACAUGAAAAAAAUCAAAGAAGAAAUAUGGGAAAUGGUACGAAAGGAGAUGGAAGAUGCUGCAACAAGACAAGUUAUGUCUCCCCCCACACCCCAUUCUGAUAUGGGUAGUAAUAACAUGAGACAACAACUUGUUUUACAACCAGUUGUAGCAGAAAAACCAAUGUUUAAAAUGAUAGAAGAGCCCCAACCACCAGAACCACCACUGAAACACAAGGUAUGCAUUUACUUACUAAUAAUACAAGAUUAAUAUAAGUGAUAUAAAGCCUAUGUAAAUGAUAUUAUUUGUUGUAUUGAAGGUAAUUAAAUGCAAAUUAGCAGUGGAAAGAAAAGGAAAUGUUGUUGCAACUGGUACACUAAUAGAAGAAAAAGGAUCGAAUAGGUUGGUUGUAAUAAAUGUUGCACACAAGCCAGAUGCUAGACUCCCAUUUCCAAAUCCAUAUGAGAUUAUCAAUGUUGGGGAUGCUAUUGGCUUUGAGCUUGACUGGCCAACAAGCCUUGUCAUACUUGAAACUGAACAUCCCCAGGUAUGUCAUUUUAUGCCUAUAGUAAAUUUGAUUGUAACUUGGUAUUUUAUUGUUUAAGAGUAUAUAUAUCUAACAUUCCUUCCUUUUUCAUAGGUGUUGGAUAAAGGAAAGAAGAAGAUAGUGAAGACACCAAUUAUUCGAAAAUCUAAGCCUCAAAAUCAUUCGGUCAUUAAAAAUUUUCAGAAAUUUGUGGAUGGUUGCCUUGGUAAUGACAAGACAUACCCAAUACAGCUCCCCAUUUCACUAUUCGGUGUCGAAUUUCAAACAUAUAUAUCUAGAGAGGAUUGUGAAUACAUUAUUUCAUCUUUGGAGGUGUCAUCAAACUGCAUCUCCUUCUAUUUAUGGUGUGCACCUUUUAUUUUCAUUUGUUUUUAUUUUUUUAAUGAGUUGCCCAUGUUGAACAAGAUUGGAUAUGACUAAUGAUAAUUUUCUUUUGGUGUUUUGAUACAAUAAUAGGCACAUGCAUGAUCAAGUACAUAUUGCCAAAAAGGAAUCACAAUUUAUAUUUGUUAAUCCUUUUACAAUAUCACGAGCAGGCCUUAGUACUCCUCAAACAGAGAAAAGAGCACAAUUGUUGUCAAAACGCUUAAUGGAGUGCCAAGAUGCUAAAUAUGUUUUCAUACCCUACAACCCCGAGUAAGUGACAAAUAUUAUACUUUAAUUUGAGGUUUUAUGAUUGAUUUAUAUUUCUAAUUAUAUGCUACUUUUGUUUUUAAUGUUUUAGCUUUCAUUGGGUCUUGGUAGUGAUUGAGCCAAGGAAAAUGAUAGUCCACUAUCUUGACCCUAUGCAUCACAAACCAUGUGAGGACUUAAAGGAUAUCGUAAACAUGUAAGUUCUUCCUAUAUUAUUAUUAUUUUUUUAAAAUACAUUCAUCUCAAACACAUUUUUUUUAUUAUCUAUAUAUAUGUUAAAACAUAUAACAUUUACCUAUUUUAAAAAUGUACCCAUUGAACUUAUUUACAUAGGGCUCUUCGAAUAUCUGCAAAGAAAACAUCUAAGAGGGAGCCAUCUUGGCAACUAGUGCAGGUGACAUCCAAAAAAUUUUCUUUACACAUUAGCUUAUGCAUUUGCACCAUUUAUAUAUAUGAGUACUAAUGUUAUUUUAUAAUUGAUCGAUUAGUGUCCAAGGCAAGAAGGAGGGUUCGAAUGUGGCUACUUUGUUAUGAGAUUCAUAAAAGAGAUAAUUUUUGAUCCUACAAUUAUUGCUUCAAAGGUAUUACAAAUUUAAUGAAUUGUACAUAGUUUUAGGCUUCCAAAUGUUAUGCAUUUUAAUGUUAUUUUCUUAUUUGAUUUCAGUUUGGUGGUAAAAAAACAUAUUCUCAAGUAGAGUUCGAUGAAAUUAGAGGAGAAUGGGCUACUUUUGUGCUACAACUAAUCAUGAAUCAUGUUGAUGCAUCAUGAUCACCAUGCAUGGUAUACACUUUUGGGAUGGUGGAAUGGAGAAUAAAAAGAAAGAAGAAGGCAACAAGAUUUUGGGUUUUUAAAUGCAACUCUUAUGUCAUACGUUGUAGGACAUAAAUGUUACUUUAAUUAGUACUGAGAAAUUUAGAUUUUUAGAUGGGACUUUUAUGUCAUUUUAUAGUUAGCCGGUUUUAUGCUUAUGAAAUGGAGGUAUACAUGAAUCUUGGGAUCUUUAACAUUUGUAAAUCAUGUUUUGGUAUGUAUUCACUCUUCUUUUUUUAGUUUUGAUGGGUUUGAUUUGGUGGAUGUACUAUCUUUUUGUGAACAUUUGAUAUACAAAUAUUAUUAGAUGAUCAA